rnacentral:ncRNA from 1 species
AACCGAGAGGACGCUAUCGGUGCCUGACGGCUUCGGCUGUCGGGAUUAAAAGGGAACCCCGGUGUAAGUCCGGGACUGCCCCGCAGCGGUAAUCGGGAACGAACGUCACCAACGAAGCACUGGGCCAGACAGCGCCUGGGAAGCGGUGACCAGUAGGAACUCAAGCGUCGGCGGAAACGACGACACUUGAAGAGCCCGGGAGUCCGAACACCUGCCGAGAGUGCGUGUGACGA